GAUCAUGGCUCAGGAUGAACGCUAGCUACAGGCUUAACACAUGCAAGUCGAGGGGCAGCAUGGUCUUAGCUUGCUAAGGCUGAUGGCGACCGGCGCACGGGUGAGUAACGCGUAUCCAACCUACCCCCAUAGUAGGGGAUAGCCCGUAGAAAUGCGGAUUAAUACCCUAUGUUUUCCGAGGAGGACAUCUGACUUGGAACAAAGAUUCAUCGCUAUGGGAUGGGGAUGCGUCCGAUUAGCUUGUUGGCGGGGUGACGGCCCACCAAGGCGACGAUCGGUAGGGGUUCUGAGAGGAAGGUCCCCCACACUGGUACUGAGACACGGACCAGACUCCUACGGGAGGCAGCAGUGAGGAAUAUUGGUCAAUGGGCGAGAGCCUGAACCAGCCAAGUAGCGUGCCAGGAAGACGGCCCUACGGGUUGUAAACUGCUUUUAUCAGGGGAUAAAGUGUGGGACGUGUCCCUCAUUGCAGGUACCUGAUGAAUAAGGACCGGCUAAUUCCGUGCCAGCCGCUGC
rnacentral:rRNA from 1 species